ACACGACUCUCGGCAACGGAUAUCUCGGCUCUCGCAUCGAUGAAGAACGUAGCGAAAUGCGAUACCUGGUGUGAAUUGCAGAAUCCCGCGAACCAUCGAGUCUUUGAACGCAAGUUGCGCCCGAGGCCAUUNGGCCGAGGGCACGCCUGCCUGGGCGUCACGC
rnacentral:rRNA from 1 species